rnacentral:rRNA from 1 species
AACGAACGCUGGCGGCAGGCCUAAAACAUGCAAGUCGAACGCCCCGCAAGGGGAGUGGCGCACGGGUGAGUAACGCGUGGGAAUGUGCCCCUUAGUACGGGACAACGUCGGGAAACUGACGCUAAUACCGUAUAAUAUCUCAGGAUCAAAGAUUUAUCGCUGAGGGAGCAGCCCGCGUCUGAUUAGCUAGUUGGUGAGGUAAUGGCUCACCAAGGCGACGAUCCGUAGCGGGUCUGAGAGGAUGAUCCGCCACACUGGGACUGAGACACGGCCCAGACUCCUACGGGAGGCAGCAGUGGGAAUUUUGGACAAUGGGCGCAAGCCUGAUCCAGCCAUGCCGCGUGAGUGAAGAAGGCCUUCGGUUGUAAAGCUCUUUCUAGACGGAAAGAAAUACGACGCGCUCUAACAUAAGCGACGUGGAUGACGGUACCGUAAGAAGAAGACACCGCGUAACUACGUGCCAGCAGCCGCGGUAAGCUCGUCGUCUA